rnacentral:rRNA from 1 species
UACAGAGGUCUCGAGCGUUAGGCGGAAUCACUGGGCUUAAAGCGUGUGUAGGUGGAUCGGUAAGUACCUUGUGAAAUCCCACAGCUUAACUGUGGAACUGCUUGGUAUACUGGCCAGUCUUGAAGCCAGCUAGGGGCUAACCGGAACAAAUGGUGGAGCGGUGAAAUGCGUAGAUAUCAAUUUGGAACGCCAAUGGGUGAAAACAGGUAGCUGGGGCUGUGCUGACAGCUGAGACACGAAAGCCAGGGGAGCAAACGGG